GAUGAACGCUGGCGGCGUGCCUAAUACAUGCAAGUCGAGCGAACAGACGAGGAGCUUGCUCCUCUGACGUUAGCGGCGGACGGGUGAGUAACACGUGGAUAACCUACCUAUAAGACUGGGAUAACUUCGGGAAACCGGAGCUAAUACCGGAUAAUAUAUUGAACCGCAUGGUUCAAUAGUGAAAGACGGUUUUGCUGUCACUUAGAGAUGGAUCCGCGCCGCAUUAGCUAGUUGGUAAGGUAACGGCUUACCAAGGCAACGAUGCGUAGCCGACCUGAGAGGGUGAUCGGCCACACUGGACCUGAGACACGGUCCAGACUCCUACGGGAGGCAGCAGUAGGGAAUCUUCCGCAAUGGGCGAAAGCCUGACGGAGCAACGCCGCGUGAGUGAUGAAGGUCUUCGGAUCGUAAAACUCUGUUAUUAGGGAAGAACAAAUGUGUAAGUAACUAUGCACGUCUUGACGGUACCUAAUCAGAAAGCCACGGCUAACUACGUG
rnacentral:rRNA from 1 species